rnacentral:rRNA from 1 species
UGGGGAAUUUUGGACAAUGGGGGAAACCCUGAUACAGCCAUCCCGCGUGUGCGAUGAAGGCCUUCGGGUUGUAAAUCACUUUUGGCAGGAAAGAAACGUCAUGGGUUAAUACCCCGUGACACUGACGGUACCUGCAGAAUAAGCACCGGCUAACUACGUGCCAGCAGCCGCGGUAAUACGUAGGGUGCAAGCGUUAAUCGGAAUUACUGGGCGUAAAGCGUGCGCAGGCGGUUCGGAAAGAAAGAUGUGAAAUCCCAGAGCUCAACUUUGGAACUGCAUUUUUAACUACCGGGCUAGAGUGUGUCAGAGGGAGGUGGAAUUCCGCGUGUAGCAGUGAAAUGCGUAGAUAUGCGGAGGAACACCGAUGGCGAAGGCAGCCUCCUGGGAUAACACUGACGCUCAUGCACGAAAGCGUGGGGAGCAAACAGG